rnacentral:tRNA from 1 species
GCCUGGGUGGCUCAGUAGGUUAAGCAUCUGACUUCCAGUCAGGUCAUAAUCUCAAGGUCUGUGGGCUCAAGUCCUGCAUCAGGCU